rnacentral:rRNA from 1 species
AUACGGAGGGUGCAAGCGUUAAUCGGAAUUACUGGGCGUAAAGCGCACGCAGGCGGUUAAUUAAGUUGGGUGUGAAAGCCCCGGGCUCAACCUGGGAAUUGCAUUUAAGACUGGUUAGCUAGAGUCUCGUAGAGGGGGGUAGAAUUCCAUUUGUAGAGGUGAAAUGCGUAGAGAUAUGGAGGAAUACCGGUGGCGAAGGCGGCCCCCUGGACGAAGACUGACGCUCAGGUGCGAAAGCGUGGGGAGCAAACAGGAUUAGAUACCCUGGUAGUCCACGCUGUAAACGAUGUCGAUUUGGAGUCUGUGACCAUGAGUCGUGGGCUCCGGAGCUAACGCGUUAAAUCGACCGCCUGGGGAGUACGGCCGCAAGGUUAAAACUCAAAUGAAUUGGCGGGG